CAACAUUUCAGCUUCCACCUUGUUCCAAAUUUUAGCACAUCUUACUGAAGUACUAAGCUCAUAAUCACCAAUUCAUUUCAAACCAUAUAACUCAUACUCAGCAUCCAAUGUAAUAUUACACGUCAUCUCACAAAGCAAUAUUUUUGUAAAAACACAUAAUGGGUACCCAGCAGAUAUGCCAAUACAGAAAUCACAUUUAUGGGCACACAACUACACACUCUGUCUCCCUCCUAGGAAACACGGAUAGACACAAUAUAAAAGCAAUCUUAAACUAACACCUCCAAAUCUCCAACUAUUCUUGGCCAAAACGCUAGUAUUCAACAACUAAUAAAACAGUUAUUUGCUAGGUUAUUUGGCUGUCAUUCUUAUCAGUAUCACUAGACUGUGACAAACUGAUUCACAUAUAAUUUAAAACAAUACAGCAACAUAUAAAUUAAACCACUUUCAAGUUAAACUGCACACUUCACACAUUAUCACAAUCACCAUUUACACAAAAUAAACAGUUAACAGCUGUAUUCAGAACAUAUUAUUGGAAGGUAUACCAAUUUUAGUUUAGAUUUAUUUUAGGGAUUCUUAUGUGUACAUUUUCUUAAUUAACUUCAUUACUUUAAUCUACUAUAGUAUUGUAUUUAAAGAAAGGAUCCAUUUAUAUAGCGCGCUCAUAACUCAACUAUUUGUAUAAAACUUCCAUUAACUAAUCUGAGAUGAUGCUGCAUCAACUUAAAUCUUACAGAAAUUGAACAAACAUCUGGACCAGAUUAAACAGACAUGGUUUCACCUGAAUCUUUCAGAACUCUCAGAGACUUAAAAAUUUAUACUAUACCAUGUUUUAACGGCAUGGCAAACCUUUAGACCGGUCAGUCUCCAAGAGCCCUUAGUAACACAGGUAAAAACCUUUGUCCAUGAUGUCUGAUUCAGGCUAUAUACCACAAUUUAAAAUAUCACAUAAUGUGAGACAUAGAAGACACAAGCAGUAGUUAUUACACUGGAUCAUUUAAAAGGAACCUGUUGCAAUAAAAAGGUUAGUUUACAGUGCAAAAUAAAGCAUGUGUUGGACCGCUGAAAAUGUAAAUGUUGCUCUGUUAUUUUCAAACAUAAAUUAUAUUUACAGUAUGGAUCCUUUGCAACAAACACACAGGGCAGGGAAGAUGUGCUGAUUGGUGUUUCUAUACAAUUAAUCCCAUAUGGGGAAUUAACUUUCAAAUACUAAUGAAGUGACUUUUUGUCUCAGUUAUAAAAUAUACUGAGCUCAUCAUGCAAACAAUGUAACACAUUUACACUAUCCCACUCUCAUAAUAAGUGUAGUGGGCUUAUAGUAUUUUUAAAGCAACAAUCAUUCCAGGCACACAGUUCCCAUGUGAAAUAACUUACAAUAAAACAGAGUAAUAAACUUAUACUUCUAUGCGAC
rnacentral:lncRNA from 1 species